rnacentral:rRNA from 1 species
UACGUAGGGUGCAAGCGUUAAUCGGAAUUACUGGGCGUAAAGCGUGCGCAGGCGGUGAUGUAAGACAGUUGUGAAAUCCCCAGGCUUAACCUGGGAACUGCAUUCGAGACUGCAUUGCUAGAGUAUGGGAGAGGGAAGUGGAAUUUCCGGUGUAGCGGUGAAAUGCGUAGAUAUCGGAAGGAACAUCAGUGGCGAAGGCGGCCCUCUGGACCAGCACUGACGCUGAGGCACGAAAGCGUGGGGAGCAAACAGG